GAUGAACGCUGGCGGCGUGCCUAAUACAUGCAAGUCGAGCGAACGGACGAGAAGCUUGCUUCUCUGAUGUUAGCGGCGGACGGGUGAGUAACACGUGGAUAACCUACCUAUAAGACUGGGAUAACUUCGGGGAAACAGAGCCCAUACCCGGUGAUAAUUUGAACCGGAAUGGUCAAAAGGUGAAGGAGGGCUUGCUGGCCAUUAAAGAUUGAACCGGGGUUCAUUAGCUAGUUGGUAAGGUAACGGCUUACCAAGGCAACGAUGCGUAGCCGAUCUGAGAGGGUGAUCAGCCACACUGGAACUGAGACACGGUCCAGACUCCUACGGGAGGCAGCAGUAGGGAAUCUUCCGCAAUGGGCGAAAGCCUGACGGAGCAACGCCGCGUGCGUGAUGAAGGUCUUCGGAUCGUAAAACUCUGUUAUUAGGGAAGAACAUCUGUGUAAGUAACUGUGCACAUCUUGACGGUACCUAAUCAGAAAGCCCCGGCUAACUACGUG
rnacentral:rRNA from 1 species